rnacentral:rRNA from 1 species
GACGAACGCUGGCGGCGUGCUUAACACAUGCAAGUCGAGCGGUAAGGCCCCUUCGGGGGUACACGAGCGGCGAACGGGUGAGUAACACGUGAGCAAUCUGCCCUUCACACGGGGAUAACUUCGGGAAACCGGAGCUAAUACCCGAUACGACCACCUCGGGCAUCCGAUGGUGGUGGAAGGCUCCGGCGGUGAAGGAUGAGCUCGCGGCCUAUCAGCUUGUUGGUGGGGUAACGGCCCACCAAGGCAACGACGGGUAGCCGGCCUGAGAGGGUGACCGGCCACACUGGGACUGAGACACGGCCCAGACUCCUACGGGAGGCAGCAGUGGGGAAUAUUGGACAAUGGGCGAAAGCCUGAUCCAGCAACGCCGCGUGAGGGAUGACGGCCUUCGGGUUGUAAACCUCUUUCAGCAGGGACGAAGCGCAAGUGACGGUACCUGCAGAAGAAGCACCGGCCAACUACGUGCCAGCCGCCGCCGUAACAC